rnacentral:sRNA from 1 species
GCUGGGUAUGGUGGCACAUACCUGUAAUCCCAGCUACUCAGGUGGCUAAGGUAGGAGGAUAGCAAGUUUAAGGCCAUCAUUGCCAACUUGAUGUGACCCUGUCUUAA